rnacentral:rRNA from 1 species
UAGGGAAUCUUCGGCAAUGGGGGCAACCCUGACCGAGCAACGCCGCGUGAGUGAAGAAGGUUUUCGGAUCGUAAAGCUCUGUUGUAAGAGAAGAACGUGUGUGAGAGUAACUGUUCAUUCGAUGACGGUAUCUAACCAGCAAGUCACGGCUAACUACGUGCCAA